GACGAACGCUGGCGGCGUGCUUAACACAUGCAAGUCGAACGGAAAGGCCCUGCUUUUGUGGGGUGCUCGAGUGGCGAACGGGUGAGUAACACGUGAGUAACCUGCCCUUGACUUUGGGAUAACUUCAGGAAACUGGGGCUAAUACCGGAUAGGAGCUCCUGCUGCAUGGUGGGGGUUGGAAAGUUUCGGCGGUUGGGGAUGGACUCGCGGCUUAUCAGCUUGUUGGUGGGGUAGUGGCUUACCAAGGCUUUGACGGGUAGCCGGCCUGAGAGGGUGACCGGCCACAUUGGGACUGAGAUACGGCCCAGACUCCUACGGGAGGCAGCAGUGGGGAAUAUUGCACAAUGGGCGGAAGCCUGAUGCAGCAACGCCGCGUGCGGGAUGACGGCCUUCGGGUUGUAAACCGCUUUCGCCUGUGACGAAGCGUGAGUGACGGUAAUGGGUAAAGAGGCACCGGCUAACUACGUGCCAGCAGCCGCGGUGAUACGUAGGGUGCGAGCGUUGUCCGGAUUUAUUGGGCGUAAAGGGCUCGUAGGUGGUUGAUCGCGUCGGAAGUGUAAUCUUGGGGCUUAACCCUGAGCGUGCUUUCGAUACGGGUUGACUUGAGGAAGGUAGGGGAGAAUGGAAUUCCUGGUGGAGCGGUGGAAUGCGCAGAUAUCAGGAGGAACACCAGUGGCGAAGGCGGUUCUCUGGGCCUUUCCUGACGCUGAGGAGCGAAAGCGUGGGGAGCGAACAGGCCUAGAUACCCUGGUAGUCCACGCUGUAAACGGUGGGUACUAGGUGUGGGGUCCAUUCCACGGGUUCCGUGCCGUAGCUAACGCUUUAAGUACCCCGCCUGGGGAGUACGGCCGCAAGGCUAAAACUCAAAGGAAUUGACGGGGCCCCGCACAAGCGGCGGAGCAUGCGGAUUAAUUCGAUGCAACGCGUAGAACCUUACCUGGGUUUGACAUGGAUCGGGAGCGCUCAGAGAUGGGUGUGCCUCUUUUGGGGUCGGUUCACAGGUGGUGCAUGGCUGUCGUCAGCUCGUGUCGUGAGAUGUUGGGUUAAGUCCCGCAACGAGCGCAACCCUUGUUCACUGUUGCCAGCACGUUAUGGUGGGGACUCAGUGGAGACCGCCGGGGUCAACUCGGAGGAAGGUGGGGAUGACGUCAAGUCAUCAUGCCCCUUAUGUCCAGGGCUUCACGCAUGCUACAAUGGCUGGUACAGAGAGUGGCGAGCCUGUGAGGGUGAGCGAAUCUCGGAAAGCCGGUCUCAGUUCGGAUUGGGGUCUGCAACUCGACCUCAUGAAGUCGGAGUCGCUAGUAAUCGCAGAUCAGCAACGCUGCGGUGAAUACGUUCCCGGGGCU
rnacentral:rRNA from 1 species